rnacentral:rRNA from 1 species
AGUUUGAUCCUGGCUCAGGACGAACGCUGGCGGCGUGCCUAAUACAUGCAAGUCGAGCGGACGGAUGGGAGCUUGCUCCCUGAAGUCAGCGGCGGACGGGUGAGUAACACGUGGGUAACCUGCCUGUAAGACUGGGAUAACUCCGGGAAACCGGGGCUAAUACCGGAUAUUCUUUCUUCUCCGCAUGGAGAAGGAUGGAAAGGCGGCUUCGGCUGUCACUUACAGAUGGACCCGCGGCGCAUUAGCUAGUUGGUGGGGUAACGGCCCACCAAGGCGACGAUGCGUAGCCGACCUGAGAGGGUGAUCGGCCACACUGGGACUGAGACACGGCCCAGACUCCUACGGGAGGCAGCAGUAGGGAAUCUUCCGCAAUGGACGAAAGUCUGACGGAGCAACGCCGCGUGAGUGAAGAAGGUUUUCGGAUCGUAAAGCUCUGUUGUUAGGGAAGAACAAGUACGGAAGUAACUGUCCGUACCUUGACGGUACCUAACCAGAAAGCCACGGCUAACUACGUGCCAGCAGCCGCGGUAAUACGUAGGUGGCAAGCGUUGUCCGGAAUUAUUGGGCGUAAAGCGCGCGCAGGCGGCUUCUUAAGUCUGAUGUGAAAGCCCACGGCUCAACCGUGGAGGGUCAUUGGAAACUGGGAGGCUUGAGUGCAGAAGAGGAGAGCGGAAUUCCACGUGUAGCGGUGAAAUGCGUAGAGAUGUGGAGGAACACCAGUGGCGAAAGGCGGCUCUCUGGUCUGUAACUGACGCUGAGGCGCGAAAGCGUGGGGAGCGAACAGGAUUAGAUACCCUGGUAGUCCACGCCGUAAACGAUGAGUGCUAAGUGUUGGAGGGUUUCCGCCCUUCAGUGCUGCAGCUAACGCAUUAAGCGCUCCGCCUGGGGGAGUACGGUCGCAGACUGAAACUCAAAGGAAUUGACGGGGGCCCGCCACAAGCGGUGGAGCAUGUGGUUUA